UACGAGGGGGCAAGCGUUGGUUCGGAAUUAUUGGGCGUAAAGGGCGCGUAGGCGGUGUCGCAAGUCCGUGGUGAAAUCUCUAGGGCUCAACUUAGAGACUGCCGCGGAAACUGCGGUGCUUGAGUGUGGGAGAGGUGCGUGGAAUUCCGGUGUAGCGGUGAAAAUGCGUAGAUAUCGGGAGGAACACCUGUGGCGAAAGCGGCGCACUGGACCACAACUGACGCUGAGGCGCGAAAGCUAGGGGAGCAAACAGG
rnacentral:rRNA from 1 species